GACGGAGGGUGCAAGCGUUAAUCGGAAUAACUGGGCGUAAAGCGCACGCAGGCGGUUGGAUAAGCGAGAUGUGAAAGCCCCGGGCUCAACCUGGGAACUGCAUUUCGAACUGUCCGACUAGAGUCUUGUAGAGGGGGGUAGAAUUCCAGGUGUAGCGGUGAAAUGCGUAGAGAUCUGGAGGAAUACCGGUGGCGAAGGCGGCCCCCUGGACAAAGACUGACGCUCAGGUGCGAAAGCGUAGGGAGCAAACAGG
rnacentral:rRNA from 1 species